UUCCGGUUGAUCCCGCCGGAAGCCACUGCUAUGGGGGUCCGACUAAGCCAUGCGAGUCAUGGGGGUGUCCCUUCUGGGACACCACCGGCGGACGGCUCAGUAACACGUCGGUAACCUACCCUCGGGAGGGGGAUAACCCCGGGAAACUGGGGCUAAUCCCCCAUAGGUGUGGGGUACUGGAAGGUCCCCACACCGAAAGGGGCUUCGUGCCCGCCCGAGGAUGGGCCGGCGGCCGAUUAGGUAGUUGGUGGGGUAACGGCCCACCAAGCCGAAGAUCGGUACGGGCCAUGAGAGUGGGAGCCCGGAGAUGGACACUGAGACACGGGUCCAGGCCCUACGGGGCGCAGCAGGCGCGAAACCUCCGCAAUGCGGGAAACCGCGACGGGGGGACCCCCAGUGCCGUGGCAACGCCACGGCUUUUCCGGAGUGUAAAAAGCUCCGGGAAUAAGGGCUGGGCAAGGCCGGUGGCAGCCGCCGCGGUAAUACCGGCGGCCCGAGUGGUGGCCGCUAUUAUUGGGCCUAAAGCGUCCGUAGCCGGGCCCGUAAGUCCCUGGCGAAAUCCCACGGCUCAACCGUGGGGCUUGCUGGGGAUACUGCGGGCCUUGGGACCGGGAGAGGCGGGGGGUACCCCUGGGGUAGGGGUGAAAUCCUAUAAUCCCAGGGGGACCGCCAGUGGCGAAGGCGCCCCGCUGGAACGGGUCCGACGGUGAGGGACGAAGGCCAGGGGAGCGAACCGGAUUAGAUACCCGGGUAGUCCUGGCUGUAAAGGAUGCGGGCUAGGUGUCGGGCGAGCUCCGAGCUCGCCCGGUGCCGUAGGGAAGCCGUUAAGCCCGCCGCCUGGGGAGUACGGCCGCAAGGCUGAAACUUAAAGGAAUUGGCGGGGGAGCACUACAAGGGGUGGAGCGUGCGGUUUAAUUGGAGUCAACGCCGGG
rnacentral:rRNA from 1 species